AUUAGACUCUUUUUUUGUGCGUUCAAGCUUAUUUUGACGAGUUUCGCUACCUCGAGGUGUUCAAAUUUUGUGUGUAAAGGACGUCAAAUGCGCUUGUCAGCGUAACGGAGUUUGCCAAUUUAAUAGAAGAAGAAGGCUCGUAAUGGCGUCCAUACUGUCUUCGCGCAACGGUCGAGUGCACCGGAAGUUCUCGGCCAGUUGCAAGGUUGGAAACAUGCAAGUGAACUAGACGAGGAAGGAAUACCGGAAUUGCAGGGUUACUCAAGAAUGCACGUCAAUUUGAAGAUCCUUCAAGACUGCCAUGUUGUAGAAGGCCAUCACGUGGGUAGAGACAAGACUGUUUGUAGAAUCAAAGUUCUACUGGCUGGGAAUUGUUAGUGAUGUGAAAGAAUUGAUUCAGCGUUGUGAUAUUUGUCAGAGGACUAAACGAAAUUUGACCACCCUUCUGAACUGUUACAUCCAGUUCCAGGUCCAUCAGAGGUCUGGACACAAAUUGCUAUUGACUUAAUUGGACCCCUACCAGAAACAAGUCAUGGAAAUAAGUAUGUCACAUAAUACUAGUUGUAUGGUGUCUGUAGGCGCCUCGUGUUUGUGAGUAACACGUCCAAUGGAGCGCGCCAAGUCCUAGCUAGACAAUAAGUAUUUGUUGAAACCCUAGCUGUCAUGGAAGUAAACAUGCAAACCUCCUAGUAGUUUAGAUUACGUCUAUAGGCAUGGUAGAGGUAGUCGUCGUUUUGCGAUCGUGAUCAAGACAAUUGAAAUGUACAGUCUAGGUAUGCACUCAGUUCCGUUGUAACGACAGUGGUAUGGUAUUUACUGACAUAGAAAUUGAUAUCAGCAAACAUUGACUAUCAACAGUGUUAGAUGCAACACAGUGUAGUAAAGGAUUGAUUGUAGUAUGGGACGUGUGAAUAGGUGACUGUAGGUGGCAUCCAGCUAAUAAAGGUGUUUCUUGGUUGUCAAGUACACACAAUCUCUAGCUACAAUACAAAAGGAUGGGGCGACGGAAGUUCAUGAAGCUUUUUGGUCGCCAUUUGCUCACCUAAACGAAUAGUUCUGAGACUCAUCUGUAAUCGGACACGGCAAUGAUUUUUUAGUUAAGGU